ACUUUGCAACUUGCAAGUUUCAAAAUCUCUCUCCCUCUCUUUCUCCCUGCGAAAUCAAAUGAACGACGGCGCAGUGCAGCAGUCUGCCGGAGGACAGCUCAAAAUCUCGAAAUCGACGUACGGGAUAUUCAACCACAGUGACCGAUCGAUCACCUUUUGGGAUAAGCUUAGAGUCGGUAUGUUUUGAAAGUUAGCUCCAGUACAAUUAUGUGAUUUUCUUGAAUGGAAUAAGGCAAGUGAUAACUAGUAGCUGGGAUGAAACCUUGAAAUGCUGGGAUCCUAGAGGUGCAAGUUGUCAGGAACAUACUCGUGUUGGAACUUGUACACAACCAGCUCCCUUGUUGAAAUUGUUUAGCAGUAGCAAUUGUUGGAUGACAUGUGAAUGUUGAUGACUUGCGAAACAUGUCUCGUUUCUCAACAGAGGGAAUCUUCCUUGAAGUAUGAAACUAGAUGUGUGCGGUGCUAUCCCAAUGUAACAGGUUUGUUUCUUAUCUCUAUUUGCUGCUUCAUUCUACUGUUCUAGAGCUUAAUUUAAUGACUCAAUAUUGGACUUUCGGUUGCAAGGUUUCUGCUUCUUACUAUCUUUCAGCUAGUUUCUGUUCACUCUAAUGAUUGACACCAUAUUAGGGUCCAUUUUUUUAGCAUAUUUGACUCAAAACAACUACUAGUUGUAUCAAAUAUAUAUCCUCCUGGAGUCUCAGUAGUCCAAACAAAUUUACGAGUACAGUUCUGUUAGGUUUGAACUACAAAUCACCCAUCUAUACUUGCAGUUUUGUAAUAUCCCGUAGUUUCUGUAAAUGAGCUAAUUUGAUUCAACAAUUAAAGAGUCGUCCAUCGUAAAUUUGGAAUUCACCAUAAAAGCCACAUUUACAUCACCAUCUUUAUGCAAAAACUUAAUGACACACAAAUAUUCUCUCAAGUCUUUCAUGACGAAUAUUAUUGAAUAUUUGGAACAUAUCUAAUGUCACUUUUGUUGUAAAUUUUAGGCGUAAAGUAAAAUUUACUUAUGGAAAUAGAAUGUUAGAGCUUCAACCCAUCAUUAGGUUUGGAUUAGCACUUGUGCUUUCAUCAAUUUUCUGAUUCCCUUUAUGCAUUGCUUGGCUGUUUUAUACAUGGAAUUUGUAGGCGUUCGAUUGAAGGUCAGGUUGCAAUGGAAAAUAUUUUUAUUUCUCUGAGGCCGGUCAGUCUAAGAAAUAUGUAAAUUUGCAUAUUCUGCUUGACACAAUCUUAAAAACUAAAAUUGAAGAAAAUAAAACUGUAGGUGUUAAUUUAAGGACACUUUUUUGUCUCCAUUGUCGAACAGAAUAAAUUGUUGAAGAGUAGUUUAAGUCAGUGUAGAAGAUAUCUAUACAAUAAAGAAUAAGAGCUUUUUCAAGAUAUUA